rnacentral:rRNA from 1 species
AAUCAACGCUGGCGGCGUGCCUCAGACAUGCAAGUCGAACGAUUAAAGCUCUCUUCGGAGAGUGCAUAGAGUGGCGCACGGGUGAGUAACACGUAAGUAAUCUACCCUCGAGUGGGGAAUAACGUCCGGAAACGGACGCUAAUACCGCAUAAUGCAGCGGCAUCGCAAGAUGACAGUUGUUAAAGAUUUAUCGCUUGAAGAGGAGCUUGCGGCAGAUAGCUAGUUGGUAAGGUAAUGGCUUACCAAGGCUACGAUCUGUAACCGGUCUUAGAGGACGGUCGGUCACACUGACACUGAAUAACGGGUCAGACUCCUACGGGAGGCAGCAGUCGGGAAUUUUGGCAAU